UUAUAAUCUAAACAUUACGAUAAACAGAAAUUGUAUCGUCAAUUUAACCAAUAUUUACAAACCCUCUUUUUUCUGACCUCGUUGAUCCUCCCCUCUCUGUCCUUGAUCCGCUUCUCUCAUGGGUCCAUAGACGCACACUGCAACACUGGUCCGUGGUCUCAACUUCACCCGCCUCCGUCUCCAUGGAAGGAUCGAAGGAAACGUCAACAAGCUCUGUGCUCAACUCGAGAAAUCUACUCCAAUGAAAGUUGAAUCUGGAAAUUCCAACAAGAAGAAGAGAAGAUCUGAUUACGAUUCUCCCCAUGCGGCUCCUGUACGAAGAAGGUACAUUGAUCUGAACGAUGAUAUUGACGGAGGAGAAGACCGGAUCGGGGGUGUACAAGAGAAAGCUCUCUGACGAUUUUGAUAGAAUCGUUGAAAUCAAUUAAAUCUGGUUUACUGCUACAUCUAAUUUUUGAACGUUUUGUUUAUUCAGAUCUUUGUAAGCUAUUAUUGAAUGGUGGGGUCUAAGCGUAUAUCGUAAUGACCAAAUAAAUCUUUCACCUAAUAUAAAUCUCAACUAUUCCUAGGAUCAGUGUUGUUUUUUGUCGAGUAGUAAUUAGAAGAUAAACCGAUGAAGGAUGUGCUCUCAUGUCAUUAGAUAUUCAGGGUCUAAUAAACGAGCUACAACACUUUUUGCCAACAAAUGUGAAACCCAAGUUACAGAUAGUGGAUACAUUUAUCAAGGCAUACUAUUUACCAGAGACGGAGUAUGUCCACUAGACAAGGGCUCAUCUGGAAUAUACUUGUAACUUUAGUAGCCACCAUGAAAGGCUGGAAGAGGAAAACGCGGCUAGAAGUUGUGGAUAAGAUUGAAUCAGCUGCUGCGUAGAGAUCUAAAUCUAGAAGCAAGCUUUUUGAACUUCCAGCAACAGCGAGUAAUAUUUACAUGUAUUGAGAGCUGUAAAUUGGAGGAAAGGCCUUAAGGUUAGGCCUUCUUGAUUAUUGUCGCUGCUUAUGGGUUUGUGUUAAAAAUCCUUCUGAAGUUGUACAGUCUUGAGGAGACUAUAACUCGCAAUAAUAUCUAAGAAAGAGCAAGUAUAAAGGAGAUCUCUUUCGAUCAGAGCUCAAGAGCUGUUCUUCAAGCUGGUAUUGAUAAGUUUGCUGAUGCUGUUGGUCUCACUCUCGGCCCUAGAGGUAUUCAUUACAAUCUCAAUGUCCGUUGUACCAAGUUGUGUCUCUCUUUUGUCUUAACCUUGUGGUCUUUUACAAGGGAGAAAUGUUAUGUUGAUGAAUUUGGAAGUCCCAAGGUUAUGAAUGAUGGCGUAAACAACGUACAUAUUUUUGGCCGACCUCUUUCAGACUUUUUUA